AUACGAAGGGGGCUAGGCGUUGCUCGGAAUGACUGGGCGUAAAGGGCGUGUAGGCGGUUUUGACAGUCAGAUGUGAAAUCCCCGGGCUUAACCUGGGAGCUGCAUUUGAGACGUUAAGACUAGAGUGUGAGAGAGGGUUGUGGAAUUCCCAGUGUAGAGGUGAGAUUCGUAGAUAUUGGGAAGAACACCGGUGGCGAAGGCGGCAACCUGGCUCAUUGCUGACGCUGAGGCGCGAAAGCGUGGGGAGC
rnacentral:rRNA from 1 species